rnacentral:rRNA from 1 species
UGAGGAAUAUUGCACAAUGGGCGCAAGCCUGAUGCAGCGACGCCGCGUGAGGGAUGACGGCCUUCGGGUUGUAAACCUCUGUUAGCAGGGAAGAAGAGAGAUUGACGGUACCUGCAGAGAAAGCGCCGGCUAACUACGUGCCAGCAGCCGCGGUAAUACGUAGGGCGCGAGCGUUGUCCGGAAUUAUUGGGCGUAAAGAGCUUGUAGGCGGUUUGUCGCGUCUGCUGUGAAAGGCCGGGGCUUAACCCCGUGUAUUGCAGUGGGUACGGGCAGACUAGAGUGCAGUAGGGGAGACUGGAAUUCCUGGUGUAGCGGUGGAAUGCGCAGAUAUCAGGAGGAACACCGAUGGCGAAGGCAGGUCUCUGGGCUGUAACUGACGCUGAGAAGCGAAAGCAUGGGGAGCGAACAGGAUUAGAUACCCUGGUAGUCCAUGCCGUAAACGUUGGGCACUAGGUGUGGGGGACAUUCCACGUUUUCCGCGCCGUAGCUAACGCAUUAAGUGCCCCGCCUGGGGAGUACGGCCGCAAGGCUA